GCCAGAUGCGGUGGCGCAUGCCUGUAAUCCCAGCGGCUCAGGAGGCUGAGGCAGGAGGAUGGUCAGCUCAAACCCAGCCUCAG
rnacentral:sRNA from 1 species